AUUGAACGCUGGCGGCAGGCCUAACACAUGCAAGUCGAACGAGUGGCGGACGGGUGAGUAAUGUCUGGGAAACUGCCUGAUGGAGGGGGAUAACUACUGGAAACGGUAGCUAAUACCGCAUACCAUCGGAUGUGCCCAGAUGGGAUUAGCUAGUAGGUGGGGUAAAGGCUCACUUAGGCGACGAUCCCUAGCUGGUCUGAGAGGAUGACCAGCCAAACGGGAACGGAGACACGGUCCAGACGCCUACGGGAGGCAGAAGUGGGGAAUAUUGCACAAGGGGCGCAAGCCUGAUGAAGCAAGGCCGCGGGUAUGAAGAAGGCCUUCGGGGGGUAAAGUACUUUCAGCGGGGAGGCGUUACCCGCAGAAGAAGCACCGGCUAACUCCGUGCCAGCAGCCGCGGUAAUUC
rnacentral:rRNA from 1 species